rnacentral:misc_RNA from 1 species
UCUCCGUAGGUGAACCUGCGGAGGGAUCAUUACAGAGUUCUCGCCCUUACGGGUAGAUCUCCCACCCACUGUUAUCGUUACUGUCGUUUCUUUGGCGGGCCGCCGGGUCCCCGGCCGCCGGCGCCUAGCUGCCGGCGCGGGCCCGCCAGAGGCCUUCAAACUCUGGGUGUUAGUGUCGUCUGAGUACUAUAUAAUAGUUAAAACUUUCAACAACGGAUCUCUUGGUUCUG